rnacentral:lncRNA from 1 species
CUUAUCUCUCCUCUCUCUUCUCUCUUCUCUCUUCUCCCCCACGUGACCGAAAGCCCCCCCUUCUUCUUGUUUCUUGCUUGUGAAAACCCAGAAGCGAAGCAGUAGCCGAACUGAAGACGGCAGAAACGGAGCAGCUCGCCGGACCGCCGUCUGCUCCAACCACCCGCUGUUGUCCUGCCGUUCACGCGUGCGCCGCCCCACCGAGCUGCCGUCCGUCCCUCCCCUCACGCCAGUCCAGCAUCGUCCAGCUUCCAUCUGCCU